rnacentral:rRNA from 1 species
CAGCAGCCACGGGAAUACGUAGGUGGCAAGCGUUAUCCGGAAUUAUUGGGCGUAAAGGGCUCGCAGGCGGUUUCUUAAGUCUGAUGUGAAAGCCCCCGGCUCAACCGGGGAGGGUCAUUGGAAACUGGGAAACUUGAGUGCAGAAGAGGAGAGUGGAAUUCCACGUGUAGCGGUGAAAUGCGUAGAGAUGUGGAGGAACACCAGUGGCGAAGGCGACUCUCUGGUCUGUAACUGACGCUGAGGAGCGAAAGCGUGGGGAGCGAACAGGAUUAGAUACCCGCGUAGUCCCUGUCUCUUAUAC